GCACCCACUCACCAUCGUUCCAAUCCCCACGCACGCACUCACCACCCUUCCAAUCCCGCACCCGCACCCGCUCGCCGAAACCCUAGCCGCCGCCGCCCCCGCACCUUGGCCGACCCUCAGCCCGUCGACGGCGAGGAGCCCUCAGCCCGUCGCCUGCCUUUACCGACAAAUCACGCGACCGCGUGCCCACCAAAUCCUAAAUCUCACCGUCUCCGCCCUCUCCCCGUCCCCUCCACCAAGAUCGCACCAACCACCUCGAUGGCCGCCGCCGCACCGCCGCACGCCGCGGCGCUCCUGGCCGCCCUCGCCCUGCUCGCGCUCGCGCCCCCGGCGGUGGCCGAGAUCCGGUCGAUGGCGAUCCGGGCCGACCCGCGCACUAUGAUCCCGUGCGGUGCGGGAGAUCGGCACGGCGACAGAGAAACCUCGGCGACCAGACGACGGCGCAGGUUGACUCCGGUCCGGCCUGGAAGGAGAGAAUGGGCAAGUCAUGGGCGUUCGUCACCCACCUCCACUCCGUCGUCGGGUAUGUAUCCAUCCUAUCUACUCGCAAAUCUCAUGGUGUUCCACUCUUUUCUGCGGGCGAGAUGUCGAGUGUUGUCUGCUAUCCUCUGCCUCUUCGUUUCCUUGCGCAGGCCAAGCAUCACGCUGUUGUACCCUCUGUAUGUGUCGGUGUGCGCCAUGGAGAGCCCGUCCAAGGUGGACGACGAGUAGUGGCUGGCCUACUGGAUCCUCUACUCAUUCAUCACCCUCCUCGAGAUGCUCGCCGAGCCCGUCCUCUACUGGAUACGGAUGUGGUACCCAGUGAAGCUGCCCCACGGUGGCUCCGGCAAGACCCUCGAGGUCGUCGUCAUGCUGUCCGGGACCCCCGAUUCAAAUGUAAAGUGUGGCCUCUGUUUGCUGAAGUAUCCUUUGAGGUGUAAUGCUUCCACCAGAGAUUAGCUACGCCAGCAUCUCCGUAAAGCAACUAGUAUUAUGGAAUGUGGUAGCCAUGGAGGCACCAAUUGGCGUGAGAGGCAGAAGGGGAAUGCUGACACCGCGUUCCAUGCUCCUUCAGACAUGGAGUCCAGGCGCGCACGGCUCCGUCGCCCUGCGUGCUCCAUUGGAGGAGCCCCCGCCCCGCGCGUGGCCGCCUUGGAGUUGGAGCGCUUCCUGCCCCACGCCCCUUGUCUGGUCUGGCGGCGGGUUCCUCCUGGCCGCGAUGAUGCCCGAGGCCGGCCGCUACACCCACAAGAAGGAUGAUGGCAUCUGCAACAGUGAGCUGCAGGGUUUUGCUUGCUCGCUUGCUUACUUUGCUGCCUGUCUGUAAUCUGGUCGAUUUUGUUUUCUGCUACCAUUCACAGUGUCGUGAAAAUGGAGAUGCAUGUCUAACUGCUUCACAUGCUUAGUCUACUUUAAUGUGUAAAAUGGCAGGCAAAUGCUGCUGCAAAGAUAUUAGUGGUAUAUGUGCAUGCAUUUGACAAUAUGAUUUCACAUGUUUGUUUGAACAUUAACCAUACAGAUUAUGGUACAGUUAAUUUGGUGCAGUUGAAUGAGUGCUUGGUGUUGAUAUUUUGUUAAAUGAGCAUUAUUUUGUCUUAUAAUAGAUUGAUUUGCACUAUUUUGGUUAAUCAAAGUCCCGCAAUCAUAUGUGAUUUAAUUGACUGAGAUGUUGCAGUAGACUUUGUUGCUAGCUAUUUAAGAUCACUUCAGAUAUUAUAUAAACAUCAUGUUGUGAUAGUGGUGGUCAUUGUGUGCAUGCAAUUAACCAGGACGACGAGUGCGGCGAUGAGUCCGACCAGGGCGCGCUAGCAGAGGAGGCCCAGGAGCUUGCCGCCCCUGAUGGCGAGGGCUUGCCCGACUAGGAUGGUGGCCGCCAAGGCCAACGCCAGUGAGGAUGUCAUCCCGGAGUUCAUUGGGGGCCUCAUCCCAUUUGACAAGGCGCAUGACACUACAAGUGCGUCCCCGUGGACGGCAGGAGAAAUAGUGAGGAUGAAGAGGUGAAUGGUGUUGAUUGUUGAACUGAAAGCUUGAUUUGGUCAGGUGGAGGGUGGCUUUGUGAAGGAUGGGGAGGUGGGAGAAGAAGAAAUCUGAAGGAAAGCGGUGAGUAGAUGUCGAUGAUGUCUACUUGCUUGGCUGCUAUGGUGAUGCAUGCAGCGGUGAAGCACGCACACAUGCAAGGCUGGCCCCAUGUCUUCCUUGGCUGCGAACAUCAUCUACAGUCUUUGUUCGUUAAUACCAAGUACUUAGGCUAGCAGUAUGACCGGAUGCGAGGACCUGCUCACUGACCAGGACAAUCUAUGAGCUCCCAGCGCCUCUGAUACAAGGUGCGUUAGGGCCAACCUCUUCCGGAAGAAGGCCACACUUGUAGCCCCUCUGGAUCAAAAUUGGAUGGCAAGUUGUCGCAGCUGGAGCAAGUCUCGCAAGAGAGAGCAAUGAAAUCCAUUGUACUCUCCUGUUAUAUACUUCUUGUUGUAGGAUGGCAAGUUGUAGGAUGUACGUGUAAACCUGAUUGUACUCUCCUGUCUAAACUACAUCCAUAAUUGUCUUAUUGCAUAUUCCCUCUGCUCCUUCUAUAUUCCUGUGUAAGGAAAUGUAUUCCUGAGAUGAUUUGUUAUGUAAACCUGAUGUGAUGCGAUGGAUGAUUUGAAUUUCAUAUGUAGUUUUCUUGAUUUUAAUA